rnacentral:rRNA from 1 species
AGCGAACGCUGGCGGCAGGCCUAACACAUGCAAGUCGAACGAACUCUUCGGAGUUAGUGGCGGACGGGUGAGUAACACGUGGGAACGUGCCUUUAGGUUCGGAAUAACUCAGGGAAACUUGUGCUAAUACCGAAUGUGCCCUUCGGGGGAAAGAUUUAUCGCCUUUAGAGCGGCCCGCGUCUGAUUAGCUAGUUGGUGAGGUAAAGGCUCACCAAGGCGACGAUCAGUAGCUGGUCUGAGAGGAUGAUCAGCCACAUUGGGACUGAGACACGGCCCAAACUCCUACGGGAGGCAGCAGUGGGGAAUCUUGCGCAAUGGGCGAAAGCCUGACGCAGCCAUGCCGCGUGAAUGAUGAAGGUCUUAGGAUUGUAAAAUUCUUUCACCGGGGACGAUAAUGACGGUACCCGGAGAAGAAGCCCCGGCUAACUUCGUGACAGCCGCCGCGGUAAAAC